ensembl:lncRNA
CGACUCGCUUGUCGAGUCCCACCAUGCUUUCUGCCAUGAGCUUCCUACACAGUCCUUUUUUGUGAGCUCACUAAACUCAUCCUUAAAUAAGUCCCCACGUGCAGAACAUUUAUCAGGUCACCCUGAGGUGACCUCAAGAGCUGUCCUCUGAACUCAUCGUCUGGGACUGCCCUUGCUCACUGCACGACAGCCCCCGCGACUCCUGGCUGUGCUCAAACACACAAGGUGUGCUGCUGCCUGGCGUCCUCGCGUGGGACAUCUCUGCCUCCUCUCCCCAGGGAGCAGGUUUCUCUCACUUGCUUCAUGUCUUUGCCUGAUGUGGUGAGUUUUGGAGGAACAUUCACUACCAUCACAUUUAUCAUUCACAUUUAUAAACAACAAAUUGUUUCCUGCAUAACAUAAAAAAAUCUCAGGAUGAUAUGAAGAAGAGGAACAGAAGGGAAGUCAAAGGAAAAAAGUCAACCCUAGAGGGGCCUUACAGCCAGCCCUAGAAGUAAAUGAUUUCAGUGAACAAGCAACCACCAGCCAGACAAGAUCACUCAUAUCUUAGGGGCAACAAAAUGAAUGGUUGGUUGGCCAUGGUAGACCAGAUGUCUCUUUCCCCUUCCUGUGUGGACACUACAUAAAUUCUUAGAGAUAUGGUUAUAAUUUCAUAAAAUGGAAAAAAAGACUUUGAACUACCUGAAUUUUACCUCAAGCUGGAGUAACAGGUGGAUUAAAAUACAAAAUCAGUCCAGUUAAAGAAAAGC